rnacentral:lncRNA from 1 species
UGUGUCGAGGUUUGUGAUUGGAUAACAACAAAGAGAUGUCAGUAUAUAUUCAGGAAACUGCCGGGGUAUAUACGACGUUUUAAUCCCCAAUUGGAACCUCAAAAACGUCAUCAUAAAACCGGUUACUAUGUGACGUAGUCAAAAGCUAUCAGACUGUCAGAGGCUCACAGAGGGAAAAUAAUGACGUGCUUCAGUCAAUAAUACAUUUUUAAUACAAAAUCAUGCAAUUUACGC